GUGCACAAUUCGUCUGAAAUAUGCUUGUAGACGCCGGACUACUAGAUGUGAUUGCCAAAUCACAGAUGAAGAACGCAACCACCAGAGGCAUAUUUAAGUUCUAAUUGAUAAAUUGAAAAUUAUAAUAGAUGAAGAUGAAGAUUUUGACCAUCAGAUGCAUUCAGUAAUUAUAAUAGAUGAUACAGUUUUAAUACUUCUUGAUGAAGAACCCGACUACAAAAGACAAUUUUUAAUUCGAUUAGAUGAUGACUACGAGAGGCAAUCUUUUAUUCUAAGUUUUGUGGAAUUUUGGGAAUUCGGCUACCAAUAGCAAUAUUUGAUAUUAGUGCCCCCCCCCCUCCCCCCGAAAAAGAUCCUUUGUAAAUAGGGUUAUCAAAGCUUGAUUAAGCGGAAAAUCAUGUUCUGCUAUUUUAUUCUUUUAAUUUUACCGGAACAUUGAUUUAUAUUGUAUUUAUAUACCAUAUAUAAACUAUGCAGGCUCAUUCGGGUAUCCUUUUCUAAUUUUGAUACGAGUGC
rnacentral:lncRNA from 1 species